UUUUGGAAUUUUCCAUUUAAUAUUUUCAGACUAUGGUUGACUGCAGGUAAGUGGGUAAUAAAAAUAGUAACUGCUCACUCUUAUGUCUCUUUUACCCAUGAAACAGGUACCAAUACUCCCAUUUUAUAGAUUGGGAAGUGGAGGCAGAGAAGUGAAGAAACUUUCCCAUAGUCAAUGGAUUGCUGAUCUCUCCCCGGUGACAGGCGAGAACAAAACUGAACAAGGUACUGAAGGGCGUGUCGGUGAUGGUUUAUUAACUUCAUACCUGUGGACUAUAGUUACAAGAUUAUGACUGAACUAGAACUAGACAGGAGUGAAUGUCACCCAGAGAUUAUGGACUUGGAGCUGGAUGCAGGAACUGAUGAGACUUUGGGUCUUCCCUUCUGGGACGUGAGCACAUUUUCAUUUGUCUGCUUUUUAUUGCUUUACUUAAAAAAGGUCAUCACCUGCCACAUCGGCUGUCCUGUUGUUAAUGUCACUCUCUAGCUGUGACUUGUCUUUCCUAAUUUCUUUUAACUGCUUUAGAACAAACUAGUUAGCUAGAUUGUUAGUAAACUAGGUAACCAGGAUUAUUAGAGGAAGCAGGAGUAAGGAGGCUCUGUGUGAAGGUUUGAUGGAUUUUAUUUUGAAUAAAUUUCAUAACUUUUAGUAAGUAAUUAAUGUGACAUUGUAUUUGCUGCUCAAGAUUUUUUUUGCUUUCUCUUCAGUUUUAACCCAUACUUUGAAUAAAGUUGCUCAAAGAGUGA